GCUUUAUUUCUCCAGCGAUUUAAAAUACAAUAAUUUACUGUAGUUAUUAUAUUUUUCUCUGUUUAAUUAUAUCCAGUGCAAUUCCCAUCAGGAAUUAUUCUAGUAGGGAUACGAAGUACCAUGACUACCGAAGCAGGUGACUCUAACUUCGUAAGCACGCUCGAUGUAGAUAGCAGAAAGAAAGCGAAAGAUGAAUUGAACGAACUAAAUGAAAAAGAUCGGGAAAUAGCUGUUCAAACACUAAGGAAAUGGGUCAUCGAAGCGGACUGGCUAAAAUCACCAACAGGUCAGAUUGUUCUGCUGCAAAAUGAAUUAUAUUUUAGAGGUAAUUUUGAUUGAUGACAGUCAUAUUUCGAACAGGAGUGGACACUAGUUUUCAACCAACGACCGCAGGCAAACUAGCUCUAUAGUACGGCUCAAACUUAAAGAUGCGAGUGACAUUUGAUUCAAAGUAGCAUUUAACCACUCGACCAAUGAGGUCCACAUAAACUAUAGCGUUUCCACCAGCGUGUUGCCUCAUCUAGAAGACAUCGUUAUUGGCUUAAAUAUGUAAUACUUCUAAUUUAAAUUCGACAAAAACCUUUCGUUUCCAUUGUUCUUAGGCAGAAAACGAGAAGAUGCUUUAUAAAAAAAUAGUUUAUUGAAAACAAUAGAAAUUUUGUUUGAUCUGCAAAGUGUCAUGGUAUUCGACUUGAUUAUCAAAUAGGGAGAAAAUGUGUAGGAGGUCGGGUAGUUCAGUCAAUAAAGCAUUUGGACGGUAGUCUGAUGCACCGGAUUCCAGUCCUGGUCAGGCUGCAUUUUUCCUCACCAUUUGACAAAGGAAACCAAGAAAUGGUAAAUAGGUAUAUGCGACUUCGAACUCUGGAAAUUCGCCUAAUGCAAAUUUUUGUCACAGAUAGUAGUCGGUGUCUUAUGUAAAACGUUGAUAUACAUUUGAAGUAUAAAAUCUUAUCCAAAUGUUCUAGGUCAGCUUUUCUUUUUAACAUAGAUUUUGGUUUUCUACUCCGAUUUUUACUGACGAGAAAGUACAGUCAACUUGUUGCACGUCAGAAUUUAGAGAAUUAUUGGACUUUGAAGACAACCGUUCCAGAAUACUUCAGAAAUAUUGACCCCGCCGAUCAAACUCUACAAGCCAUAAUCAGAACAGGUUUCUGCUAUAGUCCAGAGAAACUUGACAAGAAAAACAGACGUGUGUUUUUCCAUGAAAUUUGGUAAGUACAUUAUCCAAAUUUAUGGAAAAUUUGAUAAAAUCUGUAAGAAAACCCUUUUGAACGAUGAAACGCAAAUAAACAAAUCAACAGCGGGUUCAUUUUGAAUAAUAGAAAAUGCGCAUCACCAUUCACGCCCCCAAGCAACGGCUAAAGUGGAAUUAUCCAUAAACAUUGCAUGGAUUCCGUGAUCCCGAAGGAGCAGAAAAUAUAUUAAAAAUGUGAAGACAGGAAAAAGCUGGAAUGAAAUUGUCUUUGAGAUGAAAACGGACAAAAACGCUACUGGUUCGCUCUUUCACUUAAAUUAAAUGACCAUAUUUAUUUUAUACUUUAUGUAAAUUCUCUUUAUCUUCUAUAUAUCGCUAUUUAAUGAUGAUUGAACUGUUUAAAUGAUUUUAGGUAG